rnacentral:rRNA from 1 species
CCUACGGGCGGCUGCAGUGGGGAAUAUUGCACAAUGGGCGCAAGCCUGAUGCAGCCAUGCCGCGUGAGUGAAGAAGGCCUUCGGGUUGUAAAGCACUUUCAGCGGGGAGGAAGGCGGUGAGGUUAAUAACCUCAUCGAUUGACGUUACCCGCAGAAGAAGCACCGGCUAACUCCGUGCCAGCAGCCGCGGUAAUACGGAGGGUGCAAGCGUUAAUCGGAAUUACUGGGCGUAAAGCGCACGCAGGCGGUCUGUCAAGUCGGAUGUGAAAUCCCCGGGCUCAACCUGGGAACUGCAUUCGAAACUGGCAGGCUAGAGUCUUGUAGAGGGGGGUAGAAUUCCAGGUGUAGCGGUGAAAUGCGUAGAGAUCUGGAGGAAUACCGGUGGCGAAGGCGGCCCCCUGGACAAAGACUGACGCUCAGGUGCGAAAGCGUGGGGAGCAAACAGGAUUAGAUACCCGAGUAGUC